AAAGACCAUUGAGGAAGAAUGGUACUGUAGCAAGGAAUUCCUGAGCAUAUAUUCUACCCUGCUUAGAAGAUCUUCACAACUCUCUAUGCCCUUCUAUGUUGCAAGAUCUGAGGAAUUUGAUUGGAGUGCUUCACAUGGUGGCCCUUCGAUUUCUCCAACUUUGGCAUAAUUGCAUUGGAAUUAUUUCUGAUUAAGUAUUAGCUCCUGGAUUACUCCUAUGGUAAUGUCUCUUAAUUCGGAUUGCACACACUGAUUCUACAAUUCCCCUGAUUUUCUUUAACCAAUUCUACAUUUUCAGCCUCAAGGUGGAUUAUGAUAAUUUACUAUUUUGUCUUUGUACUUGGAAUAUUUGCAUUGAAGUUAUCCCUCCGUCGAAGAUUCCAUACGGAUCUGAAGAACUCUAAAUUGUUAUGGAAAUAUAAGGUGCUGAACUGGUCUUUUUGGUGCGUGGCUGGUCGUUUUGGUGUUUCUAGGAAUGCCUCUACGGCAACACAGAGGUGACAGAUUUCCAUGACAAUUCUUCUAUGAAGUGUGUGGUUCACUCCACCUAUUAC